AGGUUGAACGCUGGCGGCAUGCUUUACACAUGCAAGUCGAACGGUAACAGGCCGCAAGGUGCUGACGAGUGGCGAACGGGUGAGUAAUGUAUCGGAACGUGCCCAGUCGUGGGGGAUAACGCAGCGAAAGCUGCGCUAAUACCGCAUACGAUCUAUGGAUGAAAGCGGGGGACCGUAAGUCCUCGCGCGAUUGGAGCGGCCGAUAUCAGAUUAGGUAGUUGGUGGGUAAAGGCUCACCAAGCCAACGAUCUGUAGCUGGUCUGAGAGGACGACCAGCCACACUGGGACUGAGACACGGCCCAGACUCCUACGGGAGGCAGCAGUGGGAAUUUUGGACAAUGGGGAACCCUGAUCCAGCCAUCCCGCGUGUGCGAUGAAGGCCUUCGGUUGUAAAGCACUUUUGGCGAGGAAGAACGGCGUGCCGUAAGUACGGACGUCACUGACGGUACCUGACAGAAUAAGCACCGCUAACUACGU
rnacentral:rRNA from 1 species